GGGCGGUCGCGGACGGACCGCUCGCCAACCCGGUCAGGUCCGAGAGGAAGCAGCCGUAACGAGAUUGGCCCGGGUCGCCGGCCGUCCUCC
rnacentral:SRP_RNA from 1 species